GGGGAAUUAGCUCAGUUGGUAGAGCACUACAAUGGCAUUGUAGGGGUCAGCGGUUCGAGCCCGCUAUUCUCCA
rnacentral:tRNA from 60 species